rnacentral:misc_RNA from 1 species
GAUGAAGAACGUAGCGAAAUGCGAUAAGUAAUGUGAAUUGCAGAAUUCAGUGAAUCAUCGAAUCUUUGAACGCACAUUGCGCCCGGCAGUACUCUGCCGGGCAUGCCUGUUCGAGCGUCAUUUCAACCCUCAAGCCCUGCUUGGUGUUGGGGUCCCACGGCCGCCGUGGGCCCUGAAAGGAAGUGGCGGGCUCGCUACAACUCCGAGCGUAGUAAUUCAUUAUCUCGCUUAGGGCGUUGGGCGGUGCUCCUGCCGUUAAAGAACCAUCUUUAACUCAAGGUUGACCUCGGAUCAGGUAGGAAUACCCGCUGAACUUAAGCAUAUCAAUAAGCGGAGGA